CCGCCCUCAUGAUGGCUUCCACACAGACCGCGCCGCAACCUGUCGGGAGACGGGGGUCCUCAGAGCCCCUUUAGGGUCGGACUCGGGGCUGCGGCGGCCCCGCGGCGGCGGCAGGAGAGCGGAGCCCCUGGAUGGACUCUUCCCGGAAGGUUUGCUGAUUUGCAGCAGCUGGGCAAUGUUCCUCAUUAACAUCUGUCUGUGCGCAUAGUCGUCACAUAACUUCACUGUGGUGGCAGGGACUCAUCUCCGAAUUCUAUAUAGAAAAAGCAUCUGGAUCCCAGUUUUUCAAUGGCUUCAAGACAACCAGAAGUACCUGCACUUGAGCCUAGUGGGCCUCUAGGCAAGAUGUCCCUGCCCAUCGGGAUAUGCCGCCGGGCAUUCAGCUAUGACGAUGCCCUUGAGGACCCUGCGUCCAUGACUCCUCCUCCAUCAGACAUGGGCAGCAUCCCUGGAAGCCAGGAUCCAGAGCGCAAGUAUCAGCACCUCGCCAAGGUGGAGGAAGGAGAAGCCAGUGUAUCCUCCCUUGCCAUGACCCUGCCACGCCACUGAACAGUGCAGACAAGGCCUGUGUGUGAAGGCCUAAAUGCUCACCAUGUCAUCAUGAAAUCUCUGGCACCAAGCAGACCCAGGAAGCACCAGGUGAACACAGUGCAGGGCUGGAGAGUCGGCACACACCCCACAAUGUGGCGCUUCACCUACCUUUUUUUUUUUUUUUUUUUUGUGUAGCACUGCACAAACUAAAGCUACAGAGUGGAGAGAUAACAAAAGAAGAGAAGCAGCCUGCGUCAGCCCAGUCCACCCCAAGCAGCACCCCUCAUUCUUCCCCUAAGCACAGGCCCAGAGGCUGGUUCACUUCCGGCUCUUCCACAGCCUUACCUGGCCCCAAUCCUGGUACCAUGGAUUCUGGAAGUGGGGAUAAGGACAGAAACCCAUCAGAUAAAUGGAGCUUCUUUGGAACAAGACCCCUCCAGAAGUAUGAUUCAGGAAGUUUUGCCACACAAGCCUACCGAGGAGCCCAGAAACCCUCUCCAAUGGAACUGAUCCGAGCCCAGGCCACGAGAAUGGCUGAAGAUCCAGCAACCUUCAAGCCACCCAAGAUGGACGUGCCCGUGACGGAAGGGAAGACGAAACCCCGCGACCCACAGCCUCAAACCCCGGGACCUGAAUGUGCUCACACCACUGUCUUAG